UGUGAGCUCGAUGAGUAGGGCGGGACACGUGGUAUCCUGUCUGAAUAUGGGGGGACCAUCCUCCAAGGCUAAAUACUCCUGACUGACCGAUAGUGAACCAGUACCGUGAGGGAAAGGCGAAAAGAACCCCGGCGAGGGGAGUGAAAAAGAACCUGAAACCGUGUACGUACAAGCAGUGGGAGCCUCUUAAUGGGGUGACUGCGUACCUUUUGUAUAAUGGGUCAGCGACUUAUAUUCUGUAGCAAGGUUAACCGAAUAGGGGAGCCGAAGGGAAACCGAGUCUUAACUGGGCGUUAAGUUGCAGGGUAUAGACCCGAAACCCGGUGAUCUAGCCAUGGGCAGGUUGAAGGUUGGGUAACACUAACUGGAGGACCGAACCGACUAAUGUUGAAAAAUUAGCGGAUGACUUGUGGCUGGGGGUGAAAGGCCAAUCAAACCGGGAGAUAGCUGGUUCUCCCCGAAAGCUAUUUAGGUAGCGCCUCGUGAAUUCAUCUCCGGGGGUAGAGCACUGUUUCGGCAAGGGGGUCAUCCCGACUUACCAACCCGAUGCAAACUGCGAAUACCGGAGAAUGUUAUCACGGGAGACACACGGCGGGUGCUAACGUCCGUCGUGAAGAGGGAAACAACCCAGACCGCCAGCUAAGGUCCCAAAGUCAUGGUUAAGUGGGAAACGAUGUGGGAAGGCCCAGACAGCCAGGAUGUUGGCUUAGAAGCAGCCAUCAUUUAAAGAAAGCGUAAUAGCUCACUGGUCGAGUCGGCCUGCGCGGAAGAUGUAACGGGGCUAAACCAUGCACCGAAGCUGCGGCAGCGACGCUUAUGCGUUGUUGGGUAGGGGAGCGUUCUGUAAGCCUGUGAAGGUGUGCUGUGAGGCAUGCUGGAGGUAUCAGAAGUGCGAAUGCUGACAUAAGUAACGAUAAAGCGGGUGAAAAGCCCGCUCGCCGGAAGACCAAGGGUUCCUGUCCAACGUUAAUCGGGGCAGGGUGAGUCGACCCCUAAGGCGAGGCCGAAAGGCGUAGUCGAUGGGAAACAGGUUAAUAUUCCUGUACUUGGUGUUACUGCGAAGGGGGGACGGAGAAGGCUAUGUUGGCCGGGCGACGGUUGUCCCGGUUUAAGCGUGUAGGCUGGUUUUCCAGGCAAAUCCGGAAAACCAAGGCUGAGGCGUGAUGACGAAGCACUACGGUGCUGAAGCGACAAAUGCCCUGCUUCCAGGAAAAGCCUCUAAGCAUCAGGUAACAUCAAAUCGUACCCCAAACCGACACAGGUGGUCAGGUAGAGAAUACCAAGGCGCUUGAGAGAACUCGGGUGAAGGAACUAGGCAAAAUGGUGCCGUAACUUCGGGAGAAGGCACGCUGAUAUGUAGGUGAAGCGACUUGCUCGUGGAGCUGAAAUCAGUCGAAGAUACCAGCUGGCUGCAACUGUUUAUUAAAAACACAGCACUGUGCAAACACGAAAGUGGACGUAUACGGUGUGACGCCUGCCCGGUGCCGGAAGGUUAAUUGAUGGGGUUAGCGGUAACGCGAAGCUCUUGAUCGAAGCCCCGGUAAACGGCGGCCGUAACUAUAACGGUCCUAAGGUAGCGAAAUUCCUUGUCGGGUAAGUUCCGACCUGCACGAAUGGCGUAAUGAUGGCCAGGCUGUCUCCACCCGAGACUCAGUGAAAUUGAACUCGCUGUGAAGAUGCAGUGUACCCGCGGCAAGACGGAAAGACCCCGUGAACCUUUACUAUAGCUUGACACUGAACAUUGAGCCUUGAUGUGUAGGAUAGGUGGGAGGCUUUGAAGUGUGGACGCCAGUCUGCAUGGAGCCGGCCUUGAAAUACCACCCUUUAAUGUUUGAUGUUCUAACGUUGGCCCGUAAUCCGGGUUGCGGACAGUGUCUGGUGGGUAGUUUGACUGGGGCGGUCUCCUCCUAAAGAGUAACGGAGGAGCACGAAGGUUGGCUAAUCCUGGUCGGACAUCAGGAGGUUAGUGCAAUGGCAUAAGCCAGCUUGACUGCGAGCGUGACGGCGCGAGCAGGUGCGAAAGCAGGUCAUAGUGAUCCGGUGGUUCUGAAUGGAAGGGCCAUCGCUCAACGGAUAAAAGGUACUCCGGGGAUAACAGGCUGAUACCGCCCAAGAGUUCAUAUCGACGGCGGUGUUUGGCACCUCGAUGUCGGCUCAUCACAUCCUGGGGCUGAAGUAGGUCCCAAGGGUAUGGCUGUUCGCCAUUUAAAGUGGUACGCGAGCUGGGUUUAGAACGUCGUGAGACAGUUCGGUCCCUAUCUGCCGUGGGCGCUGGAGAACUGAGGGGGGCUGCUCCUAGUACGAGAGGACCGGAGUGGACGCAUCACUGGUGUUCGGGUUGUCAUGCCAAUGGCACUGCCCGGUAGCUAAAUGCGGAAGAGAUAAGUGCUGAAAGCAUCUAAGCACGAAACUUGCCCCGAGAUGAGUUCU
rnacentral:rRNA from 1 species